CAGCAAGUAACUGGAGACACACACUCAAACUUUUCAGUGAGAAUAUCCAUCUUAUCUCGAGGCUGUGACAUCAGCUUCAUUUUAGGAAAAUGAAUUUGAUUUUAUUUCAUCUCAUCAGGGCUGCUCUGGUCUCUGAACUGGAAUGGAAGCUGGCUGUCACCUUGAGCCUCAACUCCCUUGUUUACGCAGCUCUGUCAGUAGAACUUUCCACCAGGACUCCGACCCCAUCCCUGGCCAUCCAGUCAUGGUAGGGAGGGCAGUGGGAUAUUAUUCAGCUAGAAAAAGGGAUGGAAUUCUGACACGUGCUACGACAUGGAUGAACCUUGAAGACAGUGUGAUAAGUGAAGAAAAGCCGACACAAAGACUAUGUAUUGUAUGAUUCUACUUGGAGGAGAGAUCCAGAACAGGCAACUUCUGUAGAUAUAGAAAGUGGAUCACGGUUGCCAGGACUGACGAUGCGGGAAGGGGAAUGACUGCUAAUGAGUACAGGGUUUCUUUUUGGGCUGAUGGAAGUGUUCUGGUUUUACAACCUUGAGAAUAUGUUAAAAACCACUGAGUAACUGAGUAUGCACUUUAAAAUGGUGAAUCUUAUAGUAUGUGAAUUACAUCUCAAUGAAAUGGUAUCUACUUUAAAGGUAAAAAAACGCUAAUAAA